rnacentral:tRNA from 1 species
AUAUCACUGGCUCAGUGGUUAGAGCCUAGGGCUUGAGAGCGAAGGGUCCCGGGUUCGAAUUUCGCAAGAGGCA